CGGCUGCGGCCUUUGCGGGCUGCAGGUGAGGAAAGUCCGGGCUUCACAGGGCAGGAUGCCGGAUAACGUCCGGUGGAGGCGACUCCAAGGAUAGUGCAACAGAGAGAUACCGCCGCGGCAUCCGGCAUCGCCGGAUGUCCGGUAAGGGUGGAAAGGCAGUGUAAGAGACUACCGUCCGGCUGGCAACAGACGGAGCCAUGUAAACCCCAUCCGAAGCAAGACCAAAUAGAAAGCAACAGGCCGGCCCGGUCUGCUUUCAGGUAGGUCGCUAGAGAUUGCCGGCGACGGCAAUUCCAGAUAGAUGAUCAUUCACGACAUAACCCGGCUUAUCGUUCUGCUU
rnacentral:RNase_P_RNA from 1 species